GCUCCUGGCUUAAGGCGCAUUUGGAAGUCUUUGAAACGCCUGGACGGAAAGAGGAGGAGUGGGUGCAGAAUUAGUGUCAGUGCCACGAACAGUGAAAACACCUCAAGUGGGAGAUGGGCUAUAACUUGUUGGAAGAGGCAGAAAGGUCGCACGGCGCUGCUGUGCACGAGUGAAUAGUUCAAGGCAUUUUGAUGCAGAGAAAAACCAAUUAAGAUACAACCACUGCUGACAUUCCCCUGAGCCGUUUCAUCUCUCACCGCUUCAAAAAAGCAAGGAAAAACAAAUUACGUCCUUUCAAUCCCAGAUUUAUAUAGGAUGAGUUGUUGCUUAGCCUAUGAAAAGAUCAAAAAGGAGAUCUUGGAAAGAAAGAUCACCUACAAAGGAUGCCGGACUAUUAUUACACACAGACGCAAAUAGGUUUAAUAAGCACGGUUCAGGUCAAAAUGUAGACAAGUGCAGUGUGUGCAGCAAAGUGCGAACGAGGGCUGCUUUCUCAGGCAUUUCACAGCUGGCAGUAGGAGAGUAAAGCACAGUGCUGAGGUUUUGGCUGCAGCUGCAACACUGGUGGAGCUCAGUGGGCUGCAAAUCGUUGGGGCUGCGGGAUGGAUGGGAGCUCCUGCCUGAGCUAAAGGGGUGGUGGAGGCAGGGGACAGGGCCGGGGCACCGUGUCACCUCCUGCUGUGGGCUCUGGAGGUGUCCCACUUCUUUGGAGGCUGAGCCGAUUCCUAACACUGAGCAAGGUGGAGAUCGCUGCAUGGGUUUUGCUGGCCAUGGCUUUAGAGCAGCCCUCCUGCAUCUGCAGGGACAAAGGGGGCAGAUGGGGAGGAAGAGGAGGAGGUCGAAGAGGAGGAAGGUGAUGAUGAGCAGGCGAGGCUGCCCGGCCUUUCUCCCCGACCACCCGGAGCUGCUUUCAAAGCGAGCCCCGGUGAAGCCGUGGGGUUGAGGCGAAGCAAACAGACGCCGUAAUUGAGCUGCGCACUGUCUCAUCUCCGCGGCGAGUUGCAAAAUGUGCCGCCUACCUCCCUCGUCAGCCAGCUUUAAUUGGCUUUAAUGAAGAGCCUGAACGGAAGCAACGUGCGAGAGCUGGGCCAGAUCCAGCAGCCUCCACCCUCAGAAGGGUGGGGCAGAUAAAAGCUCUUCUGGCUUUCCUCUCCGCCUGUCACUGCCUCCCACAGAGCUCAUCAGCCCCAUACCCCCAUUUCCUAUUGAUUGCAGCCUCAGCGCCUGCCCUGAAUUUGCUAUAGUGGAUGGGCCAAUGGGUCUGGCAUCCUGUACCCCACAGUUUGCCAAUCCGGGCAUCAUCCAGGGUAGCCGUCAUCAUCUGCAUCCUCAUCCUGGUGCCCCUCUUGGGAUACCCAAGUUCUCACCCCAUGUGGCCACCACAAUGAUGUGACACAUCCCAGGCUCCUGACAGUGAUGCCCCCUGUGCGCCUUCACAAAAAUAAGGUAUUUCUGGGAUAAGACAUGGCCUAGUAGCACUCCCAGCCCUGGAAGUACGUCAUGUUGAGGGUGAAGGUGCUGCUAAAUAAAGGGACUUUUUCAUGGGAUAAAACAACCUCCUCCCUCGGUGGUGCCACCAUGGUGUGGCUGCAGUGACUCAGUGGGCACACAUUGCGUGGGAAGGUGUUUCUCCUCCAUGGCAACAAAACAUUCAGGGUAUGGAUCUGCUGGAGUGGAUUGCCCUUUCCUGAAUAAUCAUGACAUAAUUGCCAAUUGAGGAGGCUAUGUCAGGGCUGUAUCAAAAAGUCCCGCACGAAGGAGAAGCACUGAUUGGUGAUAAGUGGCAAGUGAAGGUUGAAGUCCCCGAAGAAAAAAAAUGGGUUUCCGGCAGCAGGUGUGAUCCUUCCAGGCCUCUGGAGGGUAAGUGAAGGAGAAGCAGCUGAGUCACCACAGAUAAGGGGCAGGCUCCUUCUCUUAUCGGCUAUGGGUGUACAGGCAGGGCUGAGCUGAGGGCUUGUCACUCUGCAAAGAAAUGUGCUCAUAGGGCGGCCAGACCCUAACACCCAGCACCAGGGACACCGUGCUGCCCACCCAGGGCACUGGGACCAAACCUGUGUUGCUAUUGCCCCAUGGGACACCGGGUUUCUCUUGGCACUGGCAAAGCACAGCCCUUGCUGCUGACUGCUGGCAGAGCCACGAGCCACAUGGUGCUAAUUGAUGGGUGGUUAAAUGAAUCCUGAAUGGCAGAGCUCCACCAAGCACCUGUGGCCAUCAUCAUGCGUGGGAGAUGGUGCUUGUCAAGAAGGGAAGGCCGGGAUUAGGGACUGAGCCAUUCUGGCAGUAGUAGGUGGGGGGAAAAAGGGGAAGGAGGGAGAUGGGCACACUGAAAGCUGGCACUUCUCCUCCUGCCUUUGAGCAGCUCUGCUCCUCAGGGUCUCCAGGGGACAUUGGCCAUGAAGCCUGCUGCCCUGGGCUGGUGGGGUUAAGUGCCAGGAGCUUUGGCUUCGUUUGGCACUAUUUCUGAAAAUGAAUGGUUUGCUCUCUCAUUUACUCCUUUUUGGCCACCUCUAAGCAGGACAAACAAACACACGUGUUUGUGAAGGGGUGUCCAAGCUCUGUCCAUGCCCAGAACACCCUGUCCUACCCGUGCUGGUACUUGCAUCAAAAGCCAUGACAUUUUAGCUCCGUGUCCCACCCGGCCACCCGCACCCAGCCGCAGCCUUCGCCACUGCUGAUGCAAGCCUGAGUGUUCAUUUCUGGGGAAGGUUGUCCAAUUAUGGGAAAUCCGUCCAGUUCUGUGACUUUGACUCUUGCCCCAUUAAAGCUGAAGGAAUGCCUGAGUCAUUCCGACGCCUGCCAAGAGCCUUAACUCUUUUUUCUCCACCCGGAGUUUCUUUCCCAGCUCCGAGGCUUGGCAGCCUGUGGGAUCGGCGUGUUGGUAUUGCUCUCUGAUCUGAGUAGGAGCACAAUAGUUACAAUCUUCAAUAAUAACAACAACAGUGACCUAACAAUAAUGUAGACAACAUAAUUAAUAACCAUAAUAAUUCAAUUAAUUGUUGAAUAUUAAAGCUAAGGGAUUUGCAGUAUUGUAUUCCUACUGCCGGAACCCCCUCUGGUUACAGUGGCCCUGGAAAAGCUUGGAUUAAACUCACUGCAGGCUGAGUAGAACUGGCUCAGUUCUACUCUAUGAGUGUCACCCUAAAGGAAACCUCUUUUCAAGGAAGCUGGUAACUGGGGGUUAACUGCUAGGCUUUUGGCCCAGUAAGUUGGAGCACUCAGAGGCUCAGCAUUAGGACUUUUUCAGGACAUUGCACAGUUUGUGUGUUUAAAGCUGGUCUAAGGUGUCACUUUCUGCACCAGGUGUCAGAUCCCAUCCUGUCAUCCACUCCAUACAGGCUACAGUUUCCCACCCAUUACACAGCUGUGUGAAAUGAGGGCUGUGUGGAGUGCAGUGUUGCAAUCACAGCUCACCACUGAUUUUUGCAGCCCCCAGCACUGAGCCCACCCCAGCACAGCCGCAGAGCCGGGGCUGUGACGUGCCCUGAGCUACCUCCUGCAAAUAUUUGUCAAGGUGGAGCCGGGUGUUCAAACACAAGAGGAUCUGAGUAACCGACAGGAAGAAAAAACAGAUCCAGCUUUCACAAGGUAGCUCCAUUGGGAGCUAUUAGCUGGGGCGGUGGGAAGCCAGCAGGCUACGCAGCUGGGGCAGGUGAGCUUUGGGAAAGUCAAACAAAGUCAGGGGAAGUACAUAUCUCUGAUGAUCCUUUUUCUUUUUCUCCCAUGGUUCAAGUUGCUCAGAGAAGCUGUUGGUGCCCCAGCUCUGGAGGUGCUGAAGGCCAGGUUGGAUGAGGCCCUGGGUAGCCUGAGCUGGUAGGGAACAGCCCUGAUCAUGACAGGAGACUGGAACUGGGUGGGUUUUGACAUCCCUUCCAAGCCAAGCCAUUCCAUGAUUUUCUUGAAGCUACUAAAGUUGAUGAGCAUAUAUAAAUAUAUAUAUGAGAAAGAGAGAUAGCUGGCAAUAAUGUGCUUGAGAGUUUGGUUUGGGAUUACUCCUCAGCCUGGCUGGAGAUGGGAAAUAACCCAAAUCUUGGCAGUUACAUGACCUCAUCAUCCUUCCCCCGCCUCGCAUUUGCUGAUCUUUUGGUGAGGCGAUCUGGCAACUGUUCUCAGUGUUUACCCAUAAAGUUUACUCACUGAUGAUUCAAAAAAAUGAGGAAAAAAAAAUAAAGCCCAAAAAUGGAACAAAGCUCAGCCCAUGAGUGGGACAGCUGGGAGGGGGCUUGGGGCACACACAGCCGUCAGUGCUGGCUGUGCUGAAAGCCCCAAGGAGCACGUCUCACCCUUCCUCAUCCCUGCCAUGAGGUUUGCAAUGAGGUCUGUCAUGUCCAUAUGACCUCAGCGUGUCGGUGUGGCUGUGGGUGGCACAGCAGGGACCUGCAGGGAAAUGGGACACAUUCGGGGUUGUUUCAGCACCUCUGCUUGGCCACUGAGUUUGGCAUGUUUGCAGUUGUCUCUACACCAGAGAAUAAAUUUGUAAUACACAACAAAUUAUGUCCCACUCACAGUUGUUGGCCGAAGCCACCCAUAGGAUCUCCUAUGAGAAGCAUCUCUACACACAGAUGAAAACAGGCAAAGAUGACUCAAAGCCACUUUACUGGCUGCAGAAAAGGGGCAGGGUGCCUGGAGUGGUGAUCUACAAUUCACUGUGUUGCUGCGAGGCCUGGCUCUUCAUGGUCUCUAGUAAAUACUAUCACUGCAGCACAGCAGGGUAAUAAAAGGUGAACUGACAGCACAACGGGCAGCUGCAGCCUGACUGGCACCAUGUGGGACUGCUGCAGACUUAAUGUGCACAGAGUACGUCAACGUCAAUCAGGGCUGAGGUCUCUGACAUUUAUUACCGUUGCCACAAAAUAAAGAUUGCACAAAUAUUUAUGCUA